rnacentral:rRNA from 1 species
UGAUACGUAGGGUGCGAGCGUUGUCCGGAUUUAUUGGGCGUAAAGGGCUCGUAGGUGGUUGAUCGCGUCGGAAGUGUAAUCUUGGGGCUUAACCCUGAGCGUGCUUUCGAUACGGGUUGACUUGAGGAAGGUAGGGGAGAAUGGAAUUCCUGGUGGAGCGGUGGAAUGCGCAGAUAUCAGGAGGAACACCAGUGGCGAAGGCGGUUCUCUGGGCCUUUCCUGACGCUGAGGAGCGAAAGCGUGGGGAGCGAACAGGCUUAGAUACCCUGGUAGUCCACGCUGUAAACGGUGGGUACUAGGUGUGGGGUCCAUUCCACGGGUUCCGUGCCGUAGCUAACGCUUUAAGUACCCCGCCUGGGGAGUACGGCCGCAAGGCUAAAACUCAAAUGAAUUGACGG